rfam:Bombyx mori DNA, contig: Bm_scaf30_contig19002, strain: p50T/Dazao, build 2, whole genome shotgun sequence.
UUAACUGAUAUUUGUAUGGAAUUAGAACGUUUGCCUACGUUUGCCGCUAGGGGCGCUGUUCCAACCGCAUACAAAUAUGAGUUA